rnacentral:rRNA from 1 species
ACCCGUUCCCAUCCCGAACACGGAAGUUAAGCCUCAGAUCGCCGAUGGUACCUGGCCCCCGGGCCCGGGAGAGUAGGUCGCCGCUGGAU